rnacentral:tRNA from 1 species
UGUGGCUCAGUGGGUAGAGUGCUUGCCUUGUAUGCACCAGGCCCUGGGUUUGAUCCCCAGCA